UGCGCAGAACCAAAGAUCAUA
rnacentral:piRNA from 1 species